rnacentral:lncRNA from 1 species
UUAAAAUAGGGUAGUCCAAUUAAUUAAUUAAAUUAAUCAAGACAGCCCAAAGUUUAAAAUAAUAACUGACCCAAUUGAUAUUUAAAAUAAGGUCCAGCUGAAUUAAACUAAUCAGCCCAACUGAUAAAUAAAAUAAAGGCCCAACUGUUUAAUAAAAUAAAAACCGGCCCAACUGAUAAUAAAAUUUCGCAGCCCAAAACUAAUUAAAAAUCCAGCCCAACACUAAUUAAACCCCGGCCCAACAGUCAAGCCCACUCCCCAACCAAGCCCAACCCCAAAGCCCAACCCUCACCCUAGCCCAACACCUCCACCCUCUUCUUCUCCCCCAUAAAUCGCACAACACUCACACACACAUAG